AACGAACGCUGGCGGCAGGCCUAACACAUGCAAGUCGAGCGAACCCUUCGGGGUUAGCGGCGGACGGGUUAGUAACGCGUGGGAAUAUACCCUUUGGUACGGAAUAGCCUCGGGAAACUGAGAGUAAUACCGUAUGUGCCCUUCGGGGGAAAGAUUUAUCGCCAAAGGAUUAGCCCGCGUUGGAUUAGAUAGUUGGUGGGGUAAUGGCCUACCAAGUCUACGAUCCAUAGCUGGUUUGAGAGGAUGAUCAGCAACACUGGGACUGAGACACGGCCCAGACUCCUACGGGAGGCAGCAGUGGGGAAUCUUAGACAAUGGGCGCAAGCCUGAUCUAGCCAUGCCGCGUGGACGAUGAAGGCCUUAGGGUUGUAAAGUCCUUUCAGAUGGGAAGAUAAUGACGGUACCAUCAGAAGAAGCCCCGGCUAACUCCGUGCCAGCAGCCGCGGUAAUGUAUCG
rnacentral:rRNA from 1 species